GCUUUCCCCAGCGAGGCAGUCAGUCAGUGCUCGGGGAUCGUGAGUGUGUCUGCCAUUGCUCGCAACCGCGACUUCGAUUUCCGCCCGAGAAGUUCUCAAAUCACACUCUGCUCGCCUUCUACUCCAAUUGGACCUUCUUCUCUCUCAAUUCCGUUAGGUUUUGACCCAUUUCGGAACCAAAUUGGAUCACUGGGCCUGGUAAUAGUGGUGGGUCUGAGCUAUGGGGGAAGAGUCGCCGCAGUACACGCUUCGAUGCCAACUCUUUGGACACGAGGAAGAUGUACGAGGUCUGAGCGUGUCCCACGAUGGAGUGAUUGCAACAGGCUCUCGAGAUAAAUCUGUUCGAGUUUGGAAUUCUAAUCAAGGCGAGAGGGAGUAUAUCUUGGACAAGACGCUAGUUGGGCAUACAAACUUCGUGGGUACUGUAGCCUGGAUUCCACCUAAUGAAUUUCUACCCGGUGGGGGGCUGGUGUCUGGAGGAAUGGACACUCGUGUUUUAGUCUGGGACCUUCAGCAAGCUUCUAUCGCGAAGGAUAUGAAAGGACAUAAACUACAAGUUAGCAAUGUAGCUGUUGAUCCCAAUGGUGAUAUCUUGUCUGCAUCUGUUGACAGCACAGUACGUAGGUGGCGAGAUGGGCAGGUAGUCGAGGUUUUGCAAGGCCAUGAUGGGCCUGUUCAAGCGGUGCUUCCAUUAUCCAACGGUGAAGUUGUGACUGGAUCGAGUGAUACAACCAUGAAGUUAUGGCGAGGUUCAACUUGUAUCAGCACAAUCCGUGGCCAUACAGAUACUGUGCGCGGCCUUGCAAUGAUGCCCAAUGUAGGAAUACUCUCUGCUUCUCAUGAUGGGUCAUUGAGGUUAUGGGCAUUGAGUGGAGAGCAGCUGUUGGAGUUUGUGGGGCACACUGCCAUUGUCUAUUCUGUAGCUGCACACUCUUCAGGCGAUAUUGCGUCUGGUAGUGAAGAUGGUUUUGCCAAAAUUUGGAGAGGAGGCGUUUGCGUCCAGAGCAUAGAGCACCCAGGCUGUGUUUGGGAUGUGGCCUUCCUGCCGAAUGGGGAUUUAGUGACGGCAUGCUCAGAUGGUGUGGCCCGUGUGUGGACUCGCGAGAGAAAGUUCUUUGCCCCAACUGAAGAGAUGGAAGCAUACCUUUCUCUCAUAUCAACUCGCAAAUCCGCAGCAAAGACAGUGGGUGGCGUGAAGGUCGAUGACUUGCCUGGCAUCGAAGCCCUGCAGGAACCUGGAACCAAAAAUGGUCAAACGCGGAUUGUAAGGGAGGGUUCUAGUGGCGUUGCUUACUCCUGGAAUCUGAACGAGUACAAAUGGGAAAAGAUUGGAGAAGUGGUAGAUGGGCCAGGAAACAGUGCUGAUACUAAGACCCUUCACGGUGUUACUUACGAUUAUGUCUUUGAUGUAGACAUUGGAGACGGCUUGCCAACGCGAAAGUUACCUUACAAUGUCGGGGACAAUCCCUACGAUGUUGCGGAUAAGUGGUUGGAUGAAGAAGGGCUGUCACCUGGCUACAGGCAGCAAGUUGUUGACUUCAUUCUCCAGAAUACAGGCGGUGCUGCUGCCUCAUCAAACUUUGACCCUAAUUUUGUCGACCCAUAUACCGGAGCCAAUGCGUAUGUACCUGGACAGCAAACCCGUCAACCCCAAGCUUCCAGACCUGCGCCUGUUUCCUCUACACGCAGCACACCAACUUACAAGCAUAUUCCGAUGAAGGGAAUGCUGUUCUUCGACACUGCUGCAUUCGAAGGCAUCAUCAAGAAGUUAACUGAGUUCAAUUCCACAUUGGCAGCACAUGAGGCGCAUAGAGAGUUAGCUCUAAAUCAAGCAGAUUCAAUGAGGAUACAGGCUAUGAUUGCUACUCUUAAAGAAACGUCUCUUUAUCAUGCCUCCUCCUUUGCUGAUGUUGACUUUAAACUACUUACAAGGAUGGUAUUACAAUGGCCUAUAGAAAACAUUUUUCCAGUUUUGGAUCUGAUGCGAAUGAUGCUUCUGCAUCCACAAUGUGCUAUUUUCUUUGCCAAUGCGACGACUGCUGGAAAUGAUAAUGCUGACAAUAAAGAGUUCAACAGAUGUUUUAUUGGAGGCUCUACGACGGGCCACUGGCGAGCCAGUGUUAGUGCCAAAUUUACUCACAAGCGCUCGUGUGGCCGUCAAUGCAUUCAAGCAUUCUGUUCUGAGAAAUUGGGUCGUCAAGAAUAGGAGUGAGAUUUUAGAUCUUUUUUCUGGAUGUUGCGCAUCUAUGAACAAGAAUGUUCGCCUGGCUUAUGCCACCUUGGUUAUCAAUUACUCCGCGUUGUUGUUGGAAACAAAUGAUGAGGAAGGACAGAUUCAAGUUCUGUCCGCUGCUGUAGAGAUGGCAGAUUCUCAGGAAGCAGAUGUUGAAGUGAGAUUUAGGGCCCUCGUUGCUCUAGGAACUCUGAUUCAUAGCAGUGGUGUAAAGAGUGUAGCUGUGGAUUUAGAUGCGAAGAGUUUAGCUGCAGCUGCGUGCAAAUCAUCUGUGCCUAAAAUUGCUGAAGUUGGCAGAGAUAUUGACAAUUUGCUGAAGUAGUAUGUGCAUCUUUUGUUUAUUUGUGUUACUAUUUUGUUCAAAUCUUUGACACUUAUUUCAGUGCGGUUGCACGAAGGCGGACAUCACCUUUUACAUGUGCCCUGGGACCCAAGGUUAUGCUCGAUGUGCUCCAAGAUUGAGUUCUCAUUUCGUGUAUCGGACCUUCAUAAGUUUCUGAAGAAUUCUGAAUUCAGGAAACGGUAGAUAGUUCCACUUUCUUGUAUAUUUAAGUUUUUGGAAUUGGAAACAUCCUACCAUAUUGGGAGAUAGAGAAUGUGACAGUCAAGUUUUCAGAAGAAUAUUGUAUCUAGAUGUCCUUACUCAGAUUAACCAAUUCGUACAAAUGGAUAGCAUGGGGUGUAACAGACAUUGCCUUCCAGAUUGAUUUAUGUGUUGACCUCUUGACUAUGUAGGUUGGGUUUUUUCA